rnacentral:lncRNA from 1 species
AUGCACCGACUCCGGCGCCCAGUCCGACUGCGGCGGAGGUUCCCGCCGCCGCGGCUGGUGCUGCAAACCAGUCUGCCUUCCCUGCAGGGCGAGCGGGGAUGGAGCAAGUGGGUGGAGAGAAAAGGGGAAGAGCCUGGGCGGCCGGCGGGCGGGGCCUGCAGCCUCCCCGAGCCGCGGCAGCCGGCGCGCAGACUGCUCUCUCCGCGCCUCGCUCCGACUCAGGCGCGCACGGCGCCGGGACCCGCGCCCGAGCCCGAGCCCGAGCCCGCGCCCGCGCCCGAGCCCGAGCCCGGGGGCGCCGCUGCUCCUCCGCCCCCGGCCCCCGCUCCCCGCCGAGUGCGCUGCGCGGAGGCCGCGCAGGGCAGCGGAGCGCUCCGGCUGCUGGGGCUUUUCGGCUGCCGCUCGCUGCUCCGUCUGGCCGGAGGACUGGCGGGGAAGGAAGGGGAAAGCGGCGACACACACACUCGCCGCGGCGCGCGCGCACUGCACACUCGCAGCCGCGCGCCCCCCGCCGAGGCGCGUCCCGGGCGAGUUUGGCCCCGCGGCCCCGGCCCCGCACCUGCCGGCUCCGCACGCCGCGCCCCGCCCCCGCCCCCGCCCCGCCGACCGUCGGGCCCCUUCCGCCCCUCGCCGGCACAGAUCUCCCGGCGCCGGGCGGGGGGGAAGCAACUACAUCCAGAUAACUUGCGGACUGUGGCGCAACUGGUCUCGACAGCAGAGGCGCCCGAAUGCUGCCCGGGUGAGAUGGGGCCCAGCAGAGCCAGCACGUGACUGCAGACCUGUCCAGCUCCGAAUCUUGUGACCUUUCUUCUUUGGUGCCUGAUGCCUCCCAACCCUGUGCUAGCCAGCCUGUCUUCUCACUGCUUCGCCCCCAAAGGUCCUUCCACAAGAGAGGUGAAAGUUACUUCUUUUAAAUGUAUCUAUGUUACUUGCUUUGAGAGACCUGAAAAGUUGAUUCUUGUGCAUGGAGUCAUGGACCAUGAUGGAGCUUUUCACUCUUGCUCAAUGGGGAGUAAACGGACCGUUGACAUGCUCUCAGACUCUGUAGAAGGAGUAGCCUGAGGAGAACCUUUUAUAUCAAAUGUCACUGAAGUAUCCAAUUACAAGAUUUCAAGUAAACAUACUACAAAUCAUCUGUAGGGACUAGAAUGGAGUAGUCAACAAUGAGGAGUAACAGGCCUCUCUCUUUCUUUUAACUUAUUUAAUGACAGUAUUCACAUGAAUCUAGCUUAAAAUGUGAGCCAGGAUAUCCAUUCAUUUGCUCAUUUAC